rnacentral:lncRNA from 1 species
UCCACAUGAUUAUAUUUUAAUUUUUUUAAAGUUUCAUAAGCCACUCAAAUAGUUGGGUUCGUGCAAUGCGCCAUACAUGCUGCUUGAGUAUCAUAACAUUUUAAUAUUUCUGGUGCGUUGUUACAGCAAAUACAACGUCUUCCGGUACAUCCAAGGAGACGGACACAUUUUCUGUCGAAGUCUAAACCAUCGGCGUUUCCCACUAUAUAAGAGAAAAAUUGGAUUAAAAAUGAGAAUAUAAUAUUAUAUGCAUAGUUGCAAUGCCUAUCAUGAUAAAAUGAUAGAAAAUUGAUUAUAUAUGCAUCAUUGCAUUGUACAUACAUUGAUUUAGAGGAACAAGAGAAAUCAUGAUGAGGCACAUGAUAGCAAGAUGUGAUGAUGACAUUAUCCUAAUACUCUUCUACUUAACGGUGUGUUUGUUUGCUAAUUAAUGGUUGUAUUUCCUAAGGAUGUACAGUUGAGAUUAUAUAUAUAAAAUUAUAUAAGAGCAACCUUAUUACUCUAGUAUCUAAAAUAUAAAUCAUAAAAGAUUAUUCUUUUAAGAAAAGUAAAUAAAUUAAUUAAUAUAAAUCUUUAAAAUAGAGUAAGUUAUCUAUAUAUUAACAAAUGUAAUUAAAGGUCUUAAGAAGAUUUCAUAAUAUCUUAAAUAAAUUAUAUUUUGUGGUCUAUUUUCUCAAUUUGUCCUUUAUUACUGAGAUAUUCAUUGAAUUUUAUGGAUAUACUGCUAAAUUGGUUAUGCAUUCAUUGUAUGGUUUACUUAUUUUAGUUUUUCCUAUUUCAAAGUAAUAAGUUAAAUAAAAUAAUAUUUUUUUUUAUAAAAGUAAAAUAUCUGUAAUCAUUAAUCAAUUAUUUUAAACUGAUAAUCUUAUUUAGUGAAAAAACCAUCAACAAAAACUUAGCUAGAAAAUUUGAACAUUUUACCAAAAAAACAGAAUUUACCUUAAUAAACCUAAGCUAAACCACCAGUACAACUGCAUGGUUUGAAUUUAAAAAAAACCAUAAUCUAAAUGAGACUGGAAAAAGAUUGACCAUUGUGUGCCUUCAUGAGAUACAUAAUCCAUUACAAUAUUCCAAAAGAAAAUAAAUAUUUUUAUUAAACAAUUAUUUUAUUUAAAUUAUUCAUUAGGAAUAUGAAAACAAAAUAAUAAUAAGUAUACCGUACAAUUAUUGUUCGGAAACUCGCUAGGCGCUAUACGUACAUUCGGGAAGGGAGUAACGCCUAAUGACAGAAUCAGGGAUUAAUCAUAAAUUACUGAUGGAUUUAUUUUGGAUCUAUUUUUAAUUUUUAAAACACAUACAUGUAUAAUAUGUAGCUUAUGUGAAUGAUACUAAGAAAAUCAGCAUGGCCGAGUGUGUAUAGCCGAGUAGGGUAAACUUAAGGUCUCGGUUUUGAAGGAAUUGGUGCAUGUUUUAUACUAUAUUUUUUUUAAUUUUAGGUUUAGUAAGUGCAGUAUGACGAAACUGGGACUAAAACUUGAACUCUACUGUAAAUAUAUCCAGCUGUCGCUGCAAGUCUGAUAAAUUAUCUUAGUCCAGUGUUGCAGCUCUUGAUUGUAAACACGUAAUGACUGUCAAUCAAUGCUACCUUUCUAGUGUCGAUCGAGAAUACUUUAGAUUGGUUUUAUAGUCCGAUUUGAUAAGUUCACUAACGUUCCUAGACGAGCUUUCACAUGUAUCUAGCAACCUAAAUCAAGAGAAUAAAUUCAUGUGGUUCUAAUUACUCCAUAACAUAAGCAUCAAUACCAAUUCUAAUGAUUGGUAUCUAUGUAAUCACCCUAACAAUUCUAUAAUUUUGGCUAAUCCAUCAAAGCACUAUUUUACCCUAAAUCUAACAAGGGAAACUACUCCGACAUGAUAAAGCAAAACAUAGCAAUAGUCUGAAUAGAAUUCAUAAAUAUAACAGAGUAAGAAAUCAAUGGAGUUCCAAUACAAGCUCUGAAGGAGUAUUGGAUAUUUUAUCCAAAUCUACUGAAAACACUAUAACUAUAAGUUGUGAAUAAAAGAUGAUAAAAGAUGGUAUGUUUCCUAAUACAACGGCAAAGUACAUAAAUACUAGGUGAAAGAAGGCCAAGGGUAGUCUUGUAAUUAUGUGGAUCUUCUGGGCUUAAGUCGGCCAUGAACAAGUCGGCCCAUCUUAUCGCGUAUUUAUCAAUCGACGACAAGAGGGUUAUGUCAUUCGAUAUUCUACGUGUAUGUGUGGAAGUAUGAGGAAAAGUAACGAGGAAUAUGGUAGUAUGUAGUAAGAAAAUCUUUAGAGAGAAAUAAAAAGCUAUUUUUUUUUUGAUUGAGAAGCUUAAAACCAUGAUUUUCCCAUUGUUCUGUUAUGGUAUGAUAUUUUCUCUUUGAUAUAGCAAAAGAAAGAAAGAUAAAUUAUCUAUAAAAAUAGAAUAUAUCAAAUACAAACUACAAGUAUAGAAAAAAAGAGAGCAGAUCAAAAAUACAAACAACAAAGAUAAAAAGAGAAAAUGUGAAUGUCGAAGCAUGUCAACAGUAUUGAAUACAACGACAAAAUCAUUCUAUUUUUUCUGCUACACAAAUUUGUAUUAUUCUUAAUCAUACGUAUAUUAUAAAUUAGAUGCUAGAUAUAUAUAAAUAUAUUUUGAUACCCAAAGUAAAAGUUUAUUAACAUCUUUAUUCUAUAAUAUAUAUUAUAUUUAUUGAGAUAUUCCACAUGAUUAUAUUUUAAUAUUUUUAAAGUUUCUUACGCCACUCAAAUAGUUGGGUUCGUGCAAUGCGCCAUACAUGCUGCUUGAGUAUCAUAACAUUUUAAUAUUUCUGGUGCGUUGUUACAGCAAAUACAACGUCUUCCGGUACAUCCAAGGAGACGGACACAUUUUCUGUCGAAGUCUAAACCAUCGGCGUUUCCCACUAUAUAAGAAAAAAAUCGGAUUAAAAAUGAGAAUAUAAUAUUAUAUGCAUAGUCGCAAUGCCUAUCAUGAUAAAAUGAUAGAAAAUUGAAUAUAUUUUAUAUAUGCAUCAUUGCAUUGUACAUACAUUGAUUUAGAGGAACAAGAGAAAUCAUGAUGAGGCACAUGAUAGCAAGAUGUGAUGAUGACAUUAUCCUAAUACUCUUCUACUUAAAGGUGUGUUUGUUUGCUAAUUGAUGGUUGUAUUUCCUAAGGAUGAACAGUUGAGAUUAUAUAUAUAUAAUUAUGUAGGAGCAACCUUAUUACUCAAGUAUCCAAAAUAUAAAUCAUAAAAGAUUAUUCUUUUAAGAAAAAUAAAUUAAUAAAUUAAUAUAAAUCUUUAAAAUAGUGUAAGUCAUCUAUAUAUUAACAAAGGUAAUUAAAGGUCUUAAGAAUAUUUCAUAAUAUCUUAAAUACAUUAUUUUUUGUGUUCUAUUUUCUCAAUUUCUCCUUUAUUACUUAGAUAUUCAUUGAAUUUUAUGGAUAUACUGCUAAAUUGGUUAUGCAUUCAUUGUAUGGUUUAAUUAUUUUAGUUUUUCCUAUUUCAAAGUAAUAAGUUAAAUAAAAUAAUAAUUUUUUUAUAAAAGUAACGUAUCUAUUAUCAUUAAUCAAUUAUUUUAAACCAAUAAUCUCAUUUAGUGAAAAAACCAUCAACAAAAACUUAGCUAGAAAAUUUUAACAUUUUACCCAAAAAAAUAAUUUACCUAAACAAACCUAAGAUAAACCACCACUACAACUGCAUGGUUUGAAUUUAAAAAAAAAACAAUAAUCUAAAUGACACUGGAAAAAGAUUGACCAUUGUGUUCCUUCAUGAGAUACAUAAUCCCUUACAAUAUUCCAAAAGAAAAUAAAUAUUUUUAUUAAACGAAUAUUUUAUUUAAAUUAUUCAUUUGGAAAAUGAAAACAAAAUAAUAAUAAGUAUACCGUACAAUUAUUGUUCGGAAACUCGCUAGGCGCUAUACGUACAUUCGGGAAGGGAGUAGUGCCUAAUGAAAGAAUCAGGGAUUAAUCAUAAAUUACUGAUGGAUUUAUUUUGGAUCUAUUUUUAAUUUUUAAAACACAUACAUGUAUAAUAUGUAGCUUAUGUGAAUGAUACUAAGAAAAUCAGCAUGGCCGAGUGUGUAUAGCCAAGUAGGUUAAACUUAAGGUCUCGGUUGUGAAGGAAUUGGUGCAUGUUUUGUACUAUUUUUUUAAUUUUAGGUUAAGUAAGUGCAGUAUGACGAAACUUGGACUAGAACUUGAACUCUAGAAUAAAUAUAUCCAGCUGUCGCUGCGAGUCUGAUAAAUUAUCUUAGUCCAGUGUUGCAGCUCUUGCUUGUAAACACGUAAUGACUGUCAAUCAAUGCUACCUUUCUAGUGUCGAUCGACAAUACUUUAGAUUGGUUUUAUAGUCCGAAUUGAUAAGUUCACUAACGUUCCUAGACGAGCUUUCACAUGUGUGGGAACCGAAAUUCGCACUGUCGAUUUCUGUUUAAAUAAGGAAACUAGGAAAACCCUAAUUUUCCAGAGGUCCCGGAUCUCUGCGGGAGCCAACAACAAGUGACCAAAUAUAUGCGGAAAUUAUGAAAAGAUAACAAACGAGUUUAGGGAAAACAGUUGAUCUUAUUUCGAGUCCGCGUAAGAGCAUUGCGAUCAUUACAAGAGAUCAUGAAAGCUUUGGCCGCAAAGGCUGUCAGCGAGUUACUUAGUUCUAGCGGCCUAAUAGCUCAAACCUAGUUGAGUCGCAGCUCGAUAACGAAAGACGAAAUAGAUAAAGAAAAGGUUUUUGAUUGAUUUCGGACUGAACCUUGUUAAAGGCUGCCUACGUACCCCUUUCGAGGAUCAAGCCGAACGUAGUUUAAUUGAUAGAGCUGGACAAGAGAUCGAACUGCCUAGGCGAGUUCGUCUAGUAAUCGAGUGCCAGUCAUAGAAACCGAACUUGUCGAGAAUAAGCCUAAAGUUUCUAAGUGCAAAGAAUUCCGAAUCUAAAAAGUUCUUCCCAUGCCUCUCGCCUAGGACUCCUUAUAUACUAGCUCCAAGGUCGGUUUACGCUUUUACUCUUCUGCCCUUAAGCCGUCAUAGCAUGAAAAUGGAGAUAUUCCAUUUUUCCCGAUUUUCACAAUUAUCUUCAAAACUUCCGUAUUUAUCCGCGGAAACUUGACAUUUAUCCUUCCUUGUGGACCAAGCGUAAACCGGGCUGUGGUUUACAGGCUUUUGGUUAAGAAAUCGCAGGAUGGGCCUCGAGUCGUGUUUUAGGUCCCUUUGGGCCGUCUUCCGACUCGAAGAGUUUACUACGAUUUCUUUCGACAAAGAAAGAACUUUCCGCGGUUUCUUAUCCGCGAAGUUUGUUCGAUGAUUUAGAAUAGCGGAAAACAUAGACUGAGCUCGCUACGGUCUUCGGGAGAUAGCAUUUGAAGGUUUGACGAGAAUGCAUGGACUGGUGUCAUACCGAUGUUCGGAAGAGCUGUCGCUAUGCAGCGACCGAACUUUGGCUCGAGGCCGGUCGCUACGUAGCGACCGAGCUUGGCUCGGGCUCGGUCGCUACGUAGCAACCAAGCAAGACGAAAGCAACGCUCGGUCGCUACGUAGCGACCGAGCUUGGCUUGGGCUCGGUCGCUACGUAGCGACCGAGCUUGGCUCGGGCUCGGGCUCGGUCGCUAUGUAGCGACCGAGCUGUGUGCAUGCUUGGUCGCCGCGUACCGAUCGAGCUUGGCUUGUCCGCGGUCUGAUUUCCAUACUCGAGCUUGUGUGCGGCCGAUUUGGAUACAUGUCCGUUGCCUUCAGACAAUCGGUAUUUAGUGGUUCGAUUGAGAUUUGGACGAGAUUUUACUGCAAGGCUUUUCGUAAAGAUAUCUUUACGAAGAUUACUUUUCGUAAAAACGUUUAUGCUGAUUUUUACGGACUUUCAGACAUUGAUUCCGUCGUGACCGAUUUUGAACCCCAACAGUAAGCCCCCCAGCUUGUUAGAACCAUGAGCUUCUAGCGUGAGGUUCUAGCGAGUGGCUUGGCAGGUUAGGCAAGUUAGGUGAGUUAGGCGGAAUUAAUGGUUGAAAAGGUCUGUGGUAAGUGAUCUUCUCGCUCUCCUAAAAGUAGAAAACGCGAUAAGAUUGGGGCUGCACCUUAUGAUGGCUGCCUACGUACCCUUGUUGAAGGGAUCAACCCUUUCGUAGUUCGUCUUGGCGUUACGGUUCUUAUGACUAGUUUUCCAGUAGGACCUUUAUGGUCUAGUUUUUAUGUAGCGGUUAUAAGGCAUGUUGCUGCCGAUGGCAUUUUGUAUGGGUGUAGAGGGAAAACUACGAGUUGUCGUCUCGUAAUCUAACUCUGUGUGAAUUGCCAUAUACGUGAUCUGUUUCGAGAGUUUUCCGCAGUGUGUAAUCUUGCGGGAUUUUCUGAAGACGUUCGAAUAUUGGCAAAGAGACAAAUUUUGGGAUCUCGUAUCAGGGUGUUUGAUACUAUGCCUAGAGAUGUUAGAGACCAGUGCGCUGGGUUUAGGGCAAGACCUAGGUUUACUCCUGGUUUUAGAGGGUGCGAUGACUAAUUCGACUUACGUAUCCCGUUUAAGUUUCAUCCUGAUUCCAUACCGAUUUAAAGUCCGCGAUAGGUUCUCGGCUUAUACGACUUGUAUGGUUGGAAUCGAGCAUCUCUCCGGAGACCGGAAGUGCUGGACCAAAAUUUCGGAUUUCUUUUAUAGCGCUAUUAUCCUUGUGUCGGAUGUAAGAGAGUCAUCUUCUAUGAGAUGGCUAAGUCUGUUUAGGACGUUAAGAGUUUGUUGUGAUCAGCAACAAACUUAAUGGUAAAAAUUACUAUUUUGAGUCUUCGCGAAGAAUAUGUUUUGAGAAGAUGUUAGUGCGUAUGACUGUCUGGUCUUCCAUGAAGGUGUUUUUAUCGGGGAAGCAAAUUUCGUCGAAGAACUAAUCUUCAGGCGUACGCGACGUCUCGCGAUGCUGAAGAUUUGUUAUUCUUUCGUAUGCCACGUUUCGUGCUUGAAAUGUUCGCGGGCUUUGAAGAUAUUUCGCGAUGUUGCGAGGGUUUAGUAUUAGCCCUGUGUUUGAGAAACAUUCUGGUUUGACUAUGAAUGUUCGCAGCCAAAAAUUGUUGUUCCUGCUCGGAUGCUAAUAGUUUUAUUUGCGAUCGAGGAAUUAUGACUGAGGUGUCGUGUAAAUUUGUCCAUGGGAACAAGCGUUUUCCUUCAUGGUGCUUUGUGAAGAGUUGGCCUUCCAAGAUGUAUUUCGUGCAUUUUUUAGGAUGUUUCGUAUAGCUCUAGAAGCUUUGUUACGAAUUUUUCCUUACAUGCCGUGUAUUAUGGUUAAAACGUUGCGGGCUUAAAGUGAAUUGUGGAACGUAUUGAACUUGGUCAAUUUUCGAAAAGUUUAGAUUUUCCGUUAACCGUUUGGUUGUUAGGACUUAGUUUCGUUACGAAGAAUUUAUCAUAUGAUUUCCGACUAUGGGCUAUAUGAUAAUUUAUCAUAUAGUAUAACCGAUUUUACGAAGGUCGUAAAUCAGUGAUAUGUAUACAUAUGUCAAAGUAGCAUUGUUUCUGCGAUUUUUUACGAGAAACGUUCCCGCCGUGAUUUUGAUCUUAGGUGAAAGUUGCUUGGAGUUACUCAUGGAGUGUUACCGAAGUUUAUUUCAAUACGAUCUAGUCGCAGAACGUUUUUCAUAGGUUUUUCGAGAGGAUUCUCAUGACACAUUCGUUUCGGAUUCUCAUGACACAUUCGUUUCUUGAACGAACUGGUCAACCAGAGGUGGAUCUAGCUAACCAUCGGGAGGAAAGUGCUCCUUUUAAUGUGCACGAUGCUACAUCUAUUCUCGAGUUUUCUUCGUCGCAAAUGUUUUCGAUGCUUUUCCGUGACUUACUUGGUACAACGGAAACUGAAAGAAAUAAUUUGGUGAUUGAAGAUUUCUCGUAAAAUUUUUUAAAACGAAACUGGCUUUUUGAAGCCGGAAAAGGCUUCAAUACUUUGGCUAAUCGUCGAGUUUCAGUUUGAUAUUGGUACAAGUUUUCUGUACGCAUGAUUGCGACAAGAAAUGAUGUAUAGUUUUUGAGAUUAUGUUCAUGAUCGUCUGGAUAGGUUGCUAGCGUUUAGACGAAUAUUAAGAUUGUCGUUUGCCUAUUCUUGACGAUUUGCAGAAGUUUUUGAAGUUUGGGAGUAUACGAGUAUAGUAUACGUACCUACUCCCCCCAUUUUUUUACGAAAGAAAAACGGUUGAACCGAUACUUUGAAGGGUUGUGUACGUUUCAUCUUCUGAUGUUUGGAAUGAUCGAUAAUUCGGGACGAUUUAUAGACGACGCUUGGACUGUGAUUUGGUUGUUUCCACGUUGACGACUUGGGAUAUGUCGGUUCCGAGAAAAUUGCCAGAAACGAAUCGGUUUUAAGACGACGUUCAUGUCUCUAACUUUUUCUCUCUUUAGGAAGCGAGCUUGAUAUGCGUGGCGAUCGUUUCUCGACUUUCGGAGAGUUUAGAUCGGUUUGCAAGAUCUGGAUGAACAAUUAUGGAACAAUAUAUCGAGACAGGAAAAAUCGUUUAAAACUUAGUUCGCUAGACUAUCCGCCUAAGUUUUACGUUCCUUAAAGUUCUAUGGCAGCCUCAAAGUAAUUUCCUACAAAAAUUCCAAGUCUGAUUUCAAAAAUUUCAAGUCGGAAAUACCUUAGCUCUCUUGAAGAUGCAGUUUUGUCCCUUCUCAGUUUUGCGUGCUCAUUUCUGUUUCAUAUUCUCGUGUAUGUUUGCCAUUUCUGAUAUUGGUGUUUAUCCUUUGAAACUUGGCAUUUAUCUUCCGAACUUGACUGUUAUCUUCUCCUUAGGUAAGAUGUCGAUUUUUUUAAAAAGGUUCAACGUAAUCGUAUAGUUAAGGCGGCUAAGAUAUUAAGUUAACCGUUGCCGUUUUAUACGAUUAAUCUGAAUUCAUGCGAGAAAACAAGUCCUUGCGUUUUUUUUAUCGUAAAGUUUCAAUGGUAACUCCGAUAGAAACAAGAGACGUUUCGAUAGAGAUUUGAAGGAGAAUACAAAGCUGGAGGUAAGGGCGAGUAGGAGCAAGCGGAGGAGUUUAGACGAGUCUUAUUUGUUUUUGUCAUAAAAUCUCGACGGAAACUCCGAUUGAGACGAAACGAAAAGUUUUCGAUCGGGAUUCAAAAGAGAACACAGAGGAGGAGCUUUUUGAAGCCUGAAAAAUCGCAAUGUAGCGAGCUGGGGUCUGACAGGUCGCUACGUAGCGAGUGGAAGCAAGCCAGGAAGAGUCCUACUUGUUUUCGUCGUAAAAUCUCAACGGAAACUCCGAUUGAGACGAAACGAAAAGCGUUUCGAUGAGGAUUCAAAAGAGAACCCAAAGGAGGACCUUUCUGAGGCCUUAUAGGUCACUACGUAGUGACUGACGGCCUGACAGGUCGCUACGUAGCAAGCGGAAGCAGGCCAAGAAGAGUCCUACUUGUUUUCGUCGUAAAAUCUCAACGGAAACUCCGAUUGAGACGAAACGAAAAGCGUUUCGAUGAGGAUUCAAAAGAGAACCCAAAGGAGGACCUUUCUGAGGCCUUACAGGUCGCUACGUAGCGACUGACUGCCUGACAGGUCGCUACGUAGCGAGUGGAAGCAAGCCAAGAAGAGUCCUACUUGUUUUCGUCGUACAAUCUCAACGGAAUCUCCGGUUGAGACGAAACGAAAAGCGUUUCAAUGAGGAUUUAAAAGAGAACCCAAAGGAGGACCUUUCUGAGGCCUUACAGGUUGCUACGUAGCGACUGACGGCCUGACAGGUCGCUACGUAGCGCGUGAAAGCAAGCAAAGAAGAGUCCUACUUGUUUUCGUCGUAAAAUCUCAACGGAAACUCCGAUUGAGACGAAACUAAAAGCGUGGCGAUGAGGAUUCACAAGAGAACCUAAAGGAGGACCUUUCUGAGGCCUUACCGGUCGCUACGUAGCGAGUGGAGAGUUGGCUUGAGCUCGGUCGCUACGUAGCGACCGAGAAGUGUGCGUGCUCGGUCGCUACGUAACGACCGAGCGGUGUGCGUGCUCGGUCGCUACGUAGCGACCGAGCGGUGUGCGUGCUCGGUCGCUACGUAGCGACCGAACGGUGUGCGUGCUCGGUCGCUAUGUAGCGACCGAACGGUGUGUGUGCUCGGUCGCUACGUAGCGACCGAGCGGUGUGCGUGCUAGGUCGCUACGUAGCGACCGAGCAGCGUGUGCAUGCUCGAUCGCUACGUAGCGACCGAGCAGUGUGCGUGCUCGGUCGCUACGUAGCGACCGAGCAACCUGUGCGUGCUCAGUCACUACGUAGCGACCGAGCUAGGUAAUCGUUUUGUUGUGUUUCCUUUUUCCGCGAUUAACCUAGGGGUUUUUCAGCGGUUUUUGGGAGAACAAGUUCUAUCCUUCCGAAAUGUUUUUGAAAAACGUGUUUUGGUAAAACCCUUACGCAUCGAGAUUUCUUUACGGGGUUUUGAUAAGAUUUAUCGUUUCCCUUCGUGUUUACAGGGAGAAAUCGCGAGCUUGUUUUAGUGCUCUUCCUGUGGCGGAAGGUCGCGACUAAGUUUUCGAUUUUGUUGAAAACUACGGCGUUUGCGUAAGCGUUGGCCAUAGGAGCAGUCAGUGCUGCGAGUUUGUCUUUCAUAUAUCCAAAUAUCGUUUCGAUCAAGCGUUUCGUGGCCAUGAGUAAGAGUAAUCCGUAACUCCCCCUCCUUCUAGCGCCAAACUGUGGGAACCGAAAUUCGCACUGUCGAUUUCUGUUUAAAUAAGGAAACUAGGAAAACCCUAAUUUCCCAGAGGUCCCGGAUCUCUGCGGGAGCCAACGACAAGUGACCAAAUAUAUGCGGAAAUUAUGAAAAGAUAACAAACGAGUGUAGGGAAAACAGUUGAUCUUAUUUCGAGUCCGCGUAAGAGCGUUGCGAUCAUUACAAGAGAUCAUGAAAGCUUUGGCCGCAAAGGCUGUCAGCGAGUUACUUAGUUCUAGCGGCCUAAUAGCUCAAACCUAGUUGAGUCGCAGCUCGAUAACGAAAGACGAAAUAGAUAAAGAAAAGGUUUUUGAUUGAUUUCGGACUGAACCUUGUUAAAGGCUGCCUACGUACCCCUUUCGAGGAUCAAGCCGAACGUAGUUCAAUUGAUAGAGCUGGACAAGAGAUCGGACUGCCUAGGCGAGUUCGUCUAGUAAUCGAGUGCCAGUCAUAGAAACCGAACUUGUCGAGAAUAAGCCUAAAGUUUCUAAGUGCAAAGAAUUCCGAAUCUAAAAAGUUCUCCCCAUGCCUCUCGCCUAGGACUCCUUAUAUACUAGCUCCAAGGUCGGUUUACGGUUUUACUCUUCUGCCCUUAAGCCGUCAUAGCAUGAAAAUGGAGAUAUUUUAUUUUUCCCGAUUUUCACAAUUAUCUUCAAAACUUCCGUAUUUAUCCGCGGAAACUUGACAUUUAUCCUUCCUUGUGGACCAAGCGUAAACCGGGCUGUGGUUUACAGGCUUUUGAUUAAGAAAUCGCAGGAUGGGCCUCGAGUCGUGUUUUAGGUCCCUUUGGGCCGUCUUCCGACUCGAAGAGUUUACUACGAUUUCUUACGACAAAGAAAGAACUUUCCGCGGUUUCUAAUCCGCGAAGUUUGAUCGAUGAUUUAGAAUAGCGGAAAACAUAGACUGAGCUUGCUACGUUCUUCGGGAGAUAGCAUUUAAAGGUUUUACGAGAAUGCAUGGACUGGUUUUAUUUCGAUGUUCGGAAGAGCUGUCGCUAUGCAGCGACCGAAUUUUGGCUCGAGCCCGGUCGCUACGUAGCGACCGAGCUUGGCUCGGGCUCGGUCUCUACGUAGCAACCGAGCAAGACGGACGCUCGGUCGCUACGUAGCGACCGAUCUUGGCUCGGGCUCGGUCGCUACGUAGCGACCGAGCGAGACGGACGCUCGGUCGCUAUGUAGCGACCAAGCUGUGUGCAUGCUUGGUCGCCGCGUACCGAUCGAGCUUGGCUUGUCCGCGGUCUGAUUUCCAUACUAGAGCUUGUCUGCAGCCGAUUUGGAUACAUGUCUGUUGCCUUCAGACAAUCGGUAUUUAGUGGUUCGAUUGAGAUUUGGACGAGAUUUUACUGCAAGGCUUUUUGUAAAGAUAUCUUUACGAAGAUUACUUUUCGUAAAAACGUUUAUGCUGAUUUUUACGGACUUUCAGACAUUGAUUCCGUCGUGACCGAUUUUGACCCCAACAACAUGUAUCUAGCAACCUAAAUCAAGAGAAUUAAUUCAUGUGGUUCUAUUUAGCUACUCCAUAACAUAAGCAUUAAUACCAAUUCUAAUGAUUGGUAUCUAUGUAAUCACCCUAACAAUUCUAUAAUUUUGGCUAAUCCAUCAAAGCACUAUUUUACCCUAAAUCUAACAAAGGAAACUGCUCCGACAUGAUAAAGCAAAACAUAGCAAUAGUCUGAAUAGAAUUCAUAAAUAGAAUAGAGUAAGAAAUCAAUGGAGUUCCAAUACAUGCUCUGAAGGAGUAUUGGAUCUUUUAUCCAAAUCUACUGAAAACCCUAUAACUAUAUGUUGUGAAUAAAAGAUGAUAAAAGAUGGUAUGUUUCCUAAUACAACGGCAAAGUACAUAAAUACUAGGUGAGAGAAGGCCAAGUGUAGUCUUGUAAUUAUGUGGAUCUUCUGGGCUUAAGCCGGUCAUGAACAAGUCGGCCCAUCUUAUCGCGUCUUUAUCAAUCGACGACAAGAGGUUUGUGUCAUUCGAUAUUCUACGUGUAUGUGUGGAAGUAUGAGGAAAAGUAACGAGGAAUAUGGUAGUAUGUAGUAGGAAAAUCUUUAGAGAGAAAUAAAAAGCUAUUUUUUUUUUAUUGAGAAGCUUAAAACCAUGAUUAUCCCAUUGAUCUGUUAUGGUAUGAUAUUUUCUCUUUGAUAUAGCAAAAGAAAGAAAGAUAAAUUAUCUAUAAAAAUAGAACAUAUCAAAUACAAACUACAAGUAUAGAAAAAAAGAGAGCAGAUCAAAAAUACAAAAUACAAAGAUAAAAAGAGAAAAUGUGAAUGUCGAAGCAUGUCAACAGUAUUGAACACAACGACAAAAUCAUUCUAUUUUUUCUGCUACAUAAAUUUGUAUUAUUCUUAAUCAUACGUAUAUUAUAAAUUAGAUGCUAGAUAUAUAUAAAUAUAUUUUGAUACCCAAAGUAAAAGUUUAUUAAAAUCUUUAUUUUAUAAUAUAUAUUAUAUUUAUUGAGAUAUUCCACAUGAUUAUAUUUUAAUUUUUUAAAGUUUCUUAAGCCACUCAAAUAGUUGGAUUCGUGCAAUGCGCCAUACAUGCAGCUUGAGUAUCAUAACAUUUUAAUAUUUCUGGUGCGUUGUUACAGCAAAUACAACGUCUUCCGGUACAUCCAAGGAGACGAACACAUUUUCUGUCGAAGUCUAAUACUUCGGCGUUUCCCACUAUAUAAGAAACAAAUCGGAUUAAAAAUGAGAAUAUAAUAUUAUAUGCAUAGUCGCAAUGCCUAUCAUGAUAAAAUGAUAGAAAAUUGAAAAUAUUUUAUAUAUGCAUCAUUGCAUUGUACAUACAUUGAUUUAGAGGAACAAGAGAAAUCAUGAUGAGGCACAUGAUAGCAAGAUGUGAUAAUGACAUUAUCCUAAUACUCUUCUACUUAACGGUGUGUUUGUUUGCUAAUUGAUGGUUGUAUUUCUUAAGGAUGAACUGUUGAGAUUAUAUAUAUAUAAUUAUGUAAGAGCAACCUUAUUACUCUAGUAUCUAAAAUAUAAAUCAUAAAAGAUUAUUCUUUUAAUAAAAAUAAAUAAAUUAAUUAAUAUAAAUCUUUAAAAUAGUGUAAGUCAUCUAUAUAUUAACAAAGGUAAUUAAAGGUCUUAAGAAUAUUUCAUAAUAUCUUAUAUACAUUAUUUUUUUGUGUUCUAUUUUCUCAAUUUGUCCUUAAUUACUGAGAUAUUCAUUGAAUUUUAUGGAUAUACUGCUAAAUUGGUUAUGCAUUCAUUGUAUGGUUUAAUUAUUCUAGUUUUUCCUAUUUCAAAGUAAUAAGUUAAAUAAAAUAAUAAUUUUUUUUUAUAAAAGUAACGUAUCUAUUAUCACUAAACAAUUAUUUUAAACCAAUAAUCUCAUUUAGUGAAAAAACCAUCAACAAAAACUUAGCUAGAAAAUUUUAACGUUUUACCCAAAAAAAAUAAUUUACCUAAACAAACCUAAGCUAAACCACCACUACAACUGCUUGGUUUGAAUUUUUUUAAAAAAAACAAUAAUCUAAAUGACACUGGAAAAAGAUUGACCAUUGUGUGUGCCUUCAUGAGAUACAUAAUCCUUUACAAUAUUCCAAAAGAAAAUAAAUAUUUUUAUUAAACGAAUAUUUUAUUUAAAUUAUUCAUUAGGAAUAUGAAAAAAAAAUAAUAAUAAUUAUACCGUACAAUUAUUGUUCGGAAACUCGCUAGGCGCUAUACGUACAUUCGGGAAGGGAGUAGCGCCUAAUGAAAGAAUCAUGGAUUAAUCAUAGAUUACUGAUGGAUUUAUUUUGGAUCAAUUUUUAAUUUUUAAAACACAUACAUGUAUAAUAUGUAGCUUAUGUGAAUGAUACUAAGAAAAUCAGCAUGGCGGAGUGUGUAUAGCCGAGUAGGUUAAACUUAAGGUCUCGGUUUUGAAGGAAUUGGUGCAUGUUUUGUACUAUUUUUUUAAUUUUAGGUCUAGUAAGUGCAGUAUGACGAAACUGGGACUAGAACUUGAACUCUCUUGUAAAUUUAUCCAGGUGUCGCUGCGAGUCUGAUAAAUUAUCUUAGUCCAGUGUUGCAGCUCUUGCUUGUAAACAUGUAAUGACUGUCAAUCAAUGCUACCUUUCUAGUGUCGAUCGACAAUACUUUAGAUUGGUUUUAUAUUCCGAUUUGAUAAGUUCAUUAACGUUCCUAAACAAGCUUUCAUAUGUAUCUAGCAACCUAAAUCAAUAGAAUAAAUUCAUGUGGUUCUAAUUAGCUACUCCAUAACAUAAGCAUUAAUUCCAAUUCUAGUGAUUGGUAUCUAUGUAAUCACCCUAACAAUUCAAUAAUUUUGGCUAAUCCAUCAAAGCACUAUUUUACCCUAAAUCUAACAAGGGAAACUACUCCGACAUGAUAAAGCAAAACAUAGCAAUAGUCUGAAUAGAAUUCAUAAAUAGAAUAGAAUAAGAAAUCAAUGGAGUUCCAAUACAAACUCUGAAGGAGUAUUGGAUCUUUUAUCCAAAUCUACUGAAAACCCUAUAACUAUAGGUUGUGAAAAAAGAUGAUAAAAGAUGGUAUGUUUCCUAAUACAACGGCAAAAUUACAUAAAUACUAGGUGAAAGGCGGCCAAGGGUAGUCUUGUAAUUAUGUUGAUCUUCUGGCCUUAAGUCGGCCAUGAACAAGUCGGCCCAUCUUAUCGCGUCUUUAUCAAUCGACGACAAGAGGUUUGUGUCAUUCGAUAUUCUACGUGUAUGUGUGGAAGUAUGAGGAAAAGUAAAGAGGAACAUGGUAGUAUGUAGUAGGAAAAGCUUUAGAGAGAAAUAAAACGCUAAUUUUUUUUUCUGAUUGAAAGCUAAAAACCAUGAUUAUCCCAUUGAUCUGUUAUGGUAUGAUAUUUUCUCUUUGAUAUAGCAAAAGAAAGAAAGAUAAAUUAUCUAUAAAAAUAGAACAUAUCAAAUACAAACUACAAGUAGAGAAAAAAAGAGAGCAGAUCAAGAAUACAAACUACAAAGAUAAAAAGAGAAAAUGUUAAUGUCGAAGCAUGUCAACAGUAUUGAACACAACGACAAAAUCAUUCUAUUUUUUCUGCUACACAAAUUUGUAUUAUUCUUAAUCAUACGUAUAUUAUAAAUUAGAUGCUAGAUAUAUAUAAAUAUAUUUUGAUACCCAAAGUAAAAGUUUAUUAACAUCUUUAUUUUAUAAUAUAUAUUAUAUUUAUUGAGAUAUUCCACAUGAUUAUAUUUUAAUUUUUUUUAAGUUUCUAAAGCCACUCAAAUAGUUGGGUUCGUGCAAUGUGCCAUACAUGCUGCUUGAGUAUCAUAACAUUUUAAUAUUUCUGGUGCGUUGUUACAGCAAAUACAACGUCUUCCAGUACAUCCAAGGAGACGGACACAUUUUCUGUCGAAGUCUAAACCAUCGGCGUUUCCCA